rnacentral:rRNA from 1 species
CCUACGGGCGGCAGCAGUGAGGAAUAUUGGUCAAUGGACGAGAGUCUGAACCAGCCAAGUAGCGUGAAGGAUGACUGCCCUAUGGGUUGUAAACUUCUUUUAUAUGGGAAUAAAAUGUUCCACGUGUGGGAUUUUGUAUGUACCAUAUGAAUAAGGAUCGGCUAACUCCGUGCCAGCAGCCGCGGUAAUACGGAGGAUCCGAGCGUUAUCCGGAUUUAUUGGGUUUAAAGGGAGCGUAGGUGGAUUGUUAAGUCAGUUGUGAAAGUUUGCGGCUCAACCGUAAAAUUGCAGUUGAAACUGGCAGUCGUGAGUACAGUAGAGGUGGGCGGAAGUCGUGGUGUAGCGGUGAAAUGCUUAGAUAGCACGAAGAACUCCGAUUGCGAAGGCAGCUCACUGGACUGCAACUGACACUGAGGCUCGAAAGUGUGGGUAUCAAACAGGAUUAGAUACCCCAGUAGUC